GCGGCAGUGGCGGAAUUGGCAGACGCGCAAGAUUCAGGUUCUUGUGGCCGUAAGGUCGUGGGGGUUCAAGUCCCUUCUGCCGCA
rnacentral:tRNA from 1 species